GUCGAGCGGUAAGGCCUUUCGGGGUACACGAGCGGCGAACGGGUGAGUAACACGUGGGUGAUCUGCCCUGCACUUCGGGAUAAGCCUGGGAAACUGGGUCUAAUACCGGAUAUGACCUCCUAUCGCAUGGUGGGUGGUGGAAAGAUUUAUCGGUGCAGGAUGGGCCCGCGGCCUAUCAGCUUGUUGGUGGGGUAAUGGCCUACCAAGGCGACGACGGGUAGCCGACCUGAGAGGGUGACCGGCCACACUGGGACUGAGACACGGCCCAGACUCCUACGGGAGGCAGCAGUGGGGAAUAUUGCACAAUGGGCGAAAGCCUGAUGCAGCGACGCCGCGUGAGGGAUGACGGCCUUCGGGUUGUAAACCUCUUUCAGCAGGGACGAAGCGCAAGUGACGGUACCUGCAGAAGAAGCACCGGCUAACUACGUGCCAGCAGCCGCGGUAAUACGUAGGGUGCAAGCGUUGUCCGGAAUUACUGGGCGUAAAGAGUUCGUAGGCGGUUUGUCGCGUCGUUUGUGAAAACCAGCAGCUCAACUGCUGGCUUGCAGGCGAUACGGGCAGACUUGAGUACUGCAGGGGAGACUGGAAUUCCUGGUGUAGCGGUGAAAUGCGCAGAUAUCAGGAGGAACACCGGUGGCGAAGGCGGGUCUCUGGGCAGUAACUGACGCUGAGGAACGAAAGCGUGGGUAGCGAACAGGAUUAGAUACCCUGGUAGUCCACGCCGUAAACGGUGGGCGCUAGGUGUGGGUUCCUUCCACGGAAUCCGUGCCGUAGCUAACGCAUUAAGCGCCCCGCCUGGGGAGUACGGCCGCAAGGCUAAAACUC
rnacentral:rRNA from 1 species